UCCAGGAAAUUCUUCACUUCUUUCUCAAUAAGUAGUCUAGUCUCAGUGCUCAUGCUCUUUCCAUUGUCAUCAUAAUUGUGGGUGACAACCCCAACUUCUUUACUCAUGCCAUACUUGCUAAUCAUUGCUUUUGCAAGAUUAGUGGCUUGUUGCAGAUCAGAAGAUGCCCCAGAAGUAACUUCGUUUUCUCCAAAAAUCAGCUCCUCUGCAACUCGCCCUCCCAUGCAUACAUCAAGCAUGGCAAGCAUCUGUUUGCGGGAUAUACUCGUCUCAUC
rnacentral:misc_RNA from 1 species